rnacentral:rRNA from 1 species
CAGCCGCCACGGUAAUACGUAGGGUGCAAGCGUUAAUCGGAAUUACUGGGCGUAAAGCGUGCGCAGGCGGUUAUUCAAGACAGAUGUGAAAUCCCCGGGCUCAACCUGGGAACUGCAUUUGUGACUGGAUGACUAGAGUACGGCAGAGGGGGAUGGAAUUCCGCGUGUAGCAGUGAAAUGCGUAGAUAUGCGGAGGAACACCGAUGGCGAAGGCAAUCCCCUGGGCCUGUACUGACGCUCAUGCACGAAAGCGUGGGGAGCAAACAGGAUUAGAUACCCGAGUAGUCCCUGUCUCUUAUAA